GACGAACGCUGGCGGCGUGCCUAAUACAUGCAAGUCGAGCGGACCAAAGGGAGCUUGCUCCUGGAGGUUAGCGGCGAACGGGUGAGUAACACGUGGGCAACCUGCCUGUAAGACUGGGAUAACAUCGAGAAAUCGGUGCUAAUACCGGAUAAUAAAAAGAACUGCAUGGUUCUUUUUUGAAAGAUGGUUUCGGCUAUCACUUACAGAUGGGCCCGCGGCGCAUUAGCUAGUUGGUGAGGUAACGGCUCACCAAGGCAACGAUGCGUAGCCGACCUGAGAGGGUGAUCGGCCACACUGGGACUGAGACACGGCCCAGACUCCUACGGGAGGCAGCAGUAGGGAAUCUUCCGCAAUGGACGAAAGUCUGACGGAGCAACGCCGCGUGAGUGAUGAAGGUUUUCGGAUCGUAAAACUCUGUUGUUAGGGAAGAACAAGUGCCGUUCGAAAGGGCGGCACCUUGACGGUACCUAACGAGAAAGCCACGGCUAACUACGUGCCAGCAGCCG
rnacentral:rRNA from 1 species